rnacentral:rRNA from 1 species
AGCGAACGCUGGCGGUAGGCCUAACACAUGCAAGUCGAACGGCAGCACAGUAAUAGCUUGCUCUUACGGGGGGCGAGUGGCGGAUGGGUCGGGAAUACAUCGCAAUCUACUUUUUCGUGGGGGCUAACGUAGGGGAACUUUCGCUAAUACCGCAUACGACCUCCGGGUGAAAGCAGGGGAGCUUCGGACGUUGGGCGAUUGAAUGCGGCGAUGUCGGAUUAGCUAGUUGGCGGGGUAAAGGCCCACCAGGGCGACGAUCCGUAGCUGGUGUGAGAGGAUGAUGAGCGACACUGGAGCUGAGACACGGUCCAGACUCCUACGGGAGGCAGCGGUGGCGACUAUUGGCCAAUGGGCGCAAGACUGCUCCAGCCAUACCGGGUGGGUGAAGCAGGCCUUUGGGUGGUAAAGCCCUUUUGUUGGGGAAGACAAGCAUCACGUUAAUCCCACGCUGUUGUGACGGUACCCAAAGAAUAAGCACCGGCUAACUACGUG